CACGUAGGGCGCAAGCGUUGUCCGGAAUUAUUGGGCGUAAAGAGCUCGUAGGCGGUCUGUUGCGUCCGCUGUGAAAACUCGGGGCUUAACCCCGAGCCUGCAGUGGAUACGGGCAGACUAGAGGUAGGUAGGGGAGAAUGGAAUUCCCGGUGUAGCGGUGAAAUGCGCAGAUAUCGGGAGGAACACCGGUGGCGAAGGCGGUCUCUGGCGUAC
rnacentral:rRNA from 1 species